rnacentral:rRNA from 1 species
UACGUAGGGUGCAAGCGUUGUCCGGAAUUAUUGGGCGUAAAGAGCUCGUAGGCGGUCUGUCGCGUCGGCUGUGAAAACCUGAGGCUCAACCUCAGGCCUGCAGUCGAUACGGGCAGACUAGAGUGCGGUAGGGGAGACUGGAAUUCCUGGUGAUAGCGGUGAAAUGCGCAGAUAUCAGGAGGAACACCGGUGGCGAAGGCGGGUCUCUGGGCCGUAACUGACGCUGGAGGAGCGAAAGCGUGGGGAGCGAAACAGG